UGCGCCUUGCCAGCCCGCUCAGAAACUCAAAGGAAUUGACGGGGGCCCGCACAAGCGGUGGAGCAUGUGGUUUAAUUCGAUGAUACGCGAGGAACCUUACCUGGGCUCAAAUGUAUGUUGACGUAUUCUGAAAGGGAUACUUCUUCGGACAAUAUACAAGGUGCUGCAUGGUUGUCGUCAGCUCGUGCCGUGAGGUGUCGGGUUAAGUCCCAUAACGAGCGCAACCCCUAUCAUUAGUUGCCAUCAGGUCAAGCUGGGGACUCUAAUGAAACUGCCUACGCAAGUAGUGAGGAAGGUGGGGAUGACGUCAAAUCAGCACGGCCCUUACGUCCAGGGCUACACACGUGUUACAAUGGCCAGUACAGAGGGCAGCCACCCCGCGAGGGGGCGCUAAUCCUAAAAGCUGGUCCCAGUUCGGAUCGGAGUCUGCAACCCGACUCCGUGAAGCUGGAUUCGCUAGUAAUCGCGCAUCAGCCACGGCGCGGUGAAUACGUUCCCGGGCCUU
rnacentral:rRNA from 1 species